rnacentral:rRNA from 1 species
UACGAAGGGGGCUAGCGUUGCUCGGAAUUACUGGGCGUAAAGGGCGCGUAGGCGGAUACUUAAGUCGGGGGUGAAAGCCCAGGGCUCAACCCUGGAAUAGCCUUCGAUACUGGGUAUCUUGAGUACGGGAGAGGUGAGUGGAACUCCGAGUGUAGAGGUGAAAUUCGUAGAUAUUCGGAAGAACACCAGUGGCGAAGGCGACUCACUGGCCCGUUACUGACGCUGAGGCACGAAAGCGUGGGGAGCAAACAGG